rnacentral:rRNA from 1 species
CAGCCAGACUCCUACGGGAGGCAGCAGUCGGGAAUAUUGCGCAAUGGAGGAAACUCUGACGCAGUGACGCCGCGUAUAGGAAGAAGGUUUUCGGAUUGUAAACUAUUGUCGUGAGGGAAGAAAUUGACAGUACCUCAGGAGGAAGUUCCGGCUAACUACGUGCCAGCAGCCGCGGUAAUACGUAGGGGGCAAGCGUUAUCCGGAUUCACUGGGUGUAAAGGGAGCGUAGACGGCGACGCAAGUCUGGAGUGAAAGCCCGGGGCCCAACCCCGGGACUGCUCUGGAAACUGCGGCGCUGGAGUACAGGAGGGGCAGGCGGAAUUCCUGGUGUAGCGGUGAAAUGCGUAGAUAUCAGGAGGAACACCGGGGGCGAAGGCGGCCUGCUGGACCGUGACUGACGUUGAGGCUCGAGAGCGUGGGGAGCAAACAGGAUUAGAUACCCUCGUAA